GGAAAGACCCCGGGACCUUUACUACAGCUUGGUAUUGGUGUUCGGUGUGGCUUGUGUAGGAUAGGUGGGAGACUGUGAAGCAUGCACGCUAGUGUGUGUGGAGUCAUCGUUGAAAUACCACUCUGGUCGUUCUGGUUAUCUAACCUCGGUCCGUGAUCCGGAUCAGGGACAUUGCCUGGUGGGUAGUUUAACUGGGGCGGUU
rnacentral:rRNA from 1 species